AUGAAGGAGUCCGGCUAUCUAGCGGCCGUGGCCACGUAUCCUUUUUUACGCAUGAACAGUGUGCGCGUUACUGUAGCGACGAGGGCAGCGACGAGGGCAGCGAAAGCGAGCAGGCGGCGCAACAAAGCGAACAGCGAGAGAAAAGGGGAAGCGAGCGGCCAGCACGAGAAAAAAGACCUAGCCCGCGCCCCCGCAGCCGCCUCCUCUCCUGCCGCCGCCGCCUCGUCCUCGUCUCGUUUCUUGCCCUCAGCGCCGCCUCCUCUCCUUCCUCUCUCUCCCUCUGCGCCACCUCCUCUUCUCUUCAUGCGUGGUGGCGUCUCGUCAUCCCCAGCCUCCUCAAUCCCCUCCUCCCGCACGAACCCUAGCAGAGAGAGAAGAUGA
rnacentral:rRNA from 1 species